rnacentral:rRNA from 1 species
AAUCGGGGCAGGGUGAGUCGACCCCUAAGGCGAGGCCGAAAGGCGUAGUCGAUGGGAAACAGGUUAAUAUUCCUGUACUUGGUGUUACUGCGAAGGGGGGACGGAGAAGGCUAUGUUGGCCGGGCGACGGUUGUCCCGGUUUAAGCGUGUAGGCUGGUUUUCCAGGCAAAUCCGGAAAAUCAAGGCUGAGGCGUGAUGACGAGGCACUACGGUGCUGAAGCAACAAAUGCCCUGCUUCCAGGAAAAGCCUCUAAGCAUCAGGUAACAUCAAAUCGUACCCCAAACCGACACAGGUGGUCAGGUAGAGAAUACCAAGGCGCUUGAGAGAACUCGGGUGAAGGAACUAGGCAAAAUGGUGCCGUAACUUCGGGAGAAGGCACGCUGAUAUGUAGGUGAGGUCCCUCGCGGAUGGAGCUGAAAUCAGUCGAAGAUACCAGCUGGCUGCAACUGUUUAUUAAAAACACAGCACUGUGCAAACACGAAAGUGGACGUAUACGGUGUGACGCCUGCCCGGUGC